rnacentral:rRNA from 1 species
AUUGAACGCUGGCGGCAGGCCUAACACAUGCAAGUCGAACGGUAGCACAGAGAGCUUGCUCUCGGGUGACGAGCGGCGGACGGGUGAGUAAUGUCUGGGAAACUGCCUGAUGGAGGGGGAUAACUACUGGAAACGGUAGCUAAUACCGCAUAACGUCGCAAGACCAAAGAGGGGGACCUUCGGGCCUCUUGCCAUCGGAUGUGCCCAGAUGGGAUUAGCUAGUAGGUGGGGUAAUGGCUCACCUAGGCGACGAUCCCUAGCUGGUCUGAGAGGAUGACCAGCCACACUGGAACUGAGACACGGUCCAGACUCCUACGGGAGGCAGCAGUGGGGAAUAUUGCACAAUGGGCGCAAGCCUGAUGCAGCCAUGCCGCGUGUAUGAAGAAGGCCUUCGGGUUGUAAAGUACUUUCAGCGGGGAGGAAGGGGUUGAGUUUAAUACGCUCAAUCAUUGACGUUACCCGCAGAAGAAGCACCGGCUAACUCCGUGCCAGCCGCCGCAGUAAAAC